rnacentral:rRNA from 1 species
GUGAGUCAUCGAAUCUUUGAACGCACCUUGCGCCCCUUGGCCAUUCCGAGGGGCAUGCCUGUUUGAGUAUCAUGAACACCUCAACUCUCAUGGUUUGCCAUGAUGAGAUUGGACUUUGGGGGUUUUGCUGGCCAUGCGGUUGGCUCCUCUCAAAUAAAUCAGCUUGCCAGUGUUUGGUGGCGUCACGGGUGUGAUAACUGUCUACGCUUGUGGUCGUCUGCCAGGGUGACCUUCAGUGAUGAAGGCUUGCUGGAGCUUCCAAAUGUCUCUCCUGAGCGAAGACAGCUUUUUGAUCGUUCGAUCUCAAAUUCAGGUAGGACUACCCGCUGAACUUAAGCAUAUCAAUAACGCUGGAGG